rnacentral:rRNA from 1 species
UACGAAGGGGGGCUAGCGUUGCUCGGAAUCACUGGGCGUAAAGCGCACGUAGGCGGCUUUUUAAGUCAGGGGUGAAAUCCCGAGGCUCAACCUCGGAACUGCCUUUGAUACUGGGGAUCUCGAGUCCGGGAGAGGUGAGUGGAACUGCGAGUGUAGAGGUGAAAUUCGUAGAUAUUCGCAAGAACACCAGUGGCGAAGGCGGCUCACUGGCCCAUUACUGACGCUGAGGCACGAAAGCGUGGGGAGCAAACAGG